AAUUUUACCAAAGGAGGCCACAGUUCGUUGGAGGUAACAUUGGGAGGAAGAGGAGAACAGAGGGACAUCCGGGAGGGAGCCAAGGACGACCCAGCCCAGUGGAGUUCCAUAUUUCUCUUUGGAGGAACGAAGAGAUGCUGUUUGCGUGGAUAGGUCCUCCGAUAAGCUUCUUUGUAUAAGCUUUUUUUCUAUAGGACUGAAGAGACUCAGAAUUAGCCUCUUCCAAAUCUCAUUUUAUUAUGUGAAAUAAAAGAAGAUGGUGGAAGAU
rnacentral:lncRNA from 1 species